UGCUGCUGACUUUGCCAGAAAAGUGCUGUGCUAAUUUGUCCCCUCAAAAGCUGCCCUUCCUGACGCCGAAUGUGAAAAGAGAAGGGAGAUGUGUGAAAAAAAAUAAGAGCAAGGAAAUGUGAGAGAAGGGGACAUGGAAAGACAAAACGAUGGCUCCUAAGCAUAUAAGAAUGUAUGCCCCUAGGUGACAGAUUUCGGACCAGAAAGUCAUGAUUUCAAGUCUCAGCCCAUGAUUUGGGCUCUCAUCUAAUCUGGACAUUGUAGCACUAGGUCAAAAGUGGAAAUGAUUUUGCCAUCUCAUUCUGCUUCCAGUGGUCAGAUGCCCAUAAGAAAACACCACCACAACAGGUACCUAAUUAGCACCUAUGCUGGAUAUAUAAGUGAAGAAGC